UUAGAAAGUCUCAACAACAAAUUUGUUGAACUGGAGAGUGAAUUUGAUGUAGUGAUAUGGGUUGUGGUAUCUAAAGACUUUCAGUUGGAGGGCAUUCAAGAUCAGAUUCUGGGGAGAUUACGUCCUGACAAGGAAUGGGAAAGAGAAACAGAAAGUAAGAAAGCCUCUCUCAUAAACAAUAACCUUAAGAGAAAGAAAUUUGUGUUGUUGUUGGAUGAUCUCUGGAGCGAAGUAGAUCUAAUUAAGAUAGGAGUUCCACCUCCAAGUCGAGAAAAUGGAUCGAAGAUAGUUUUCACCACACGUUCAAAGGAAGUUUGCAAGCACAUGAAAGCUGACAAGCAGAUAAAAGUUGACUGUUUGUCACCAGAUGAAGCGUGGGAAUUGUUUCGACUCACUGUUGGAGAUAUCAUAUUAAGGAGCCAUCAAGAUAUUCCCGCACUUGCAAGAAUAGUUGCUGCAAAAUGCCAUGGCUUGCCACUUGCACUCAAUGUCAUUGGCAAAGCCAUGGUAUGUAAAGAGACUGUACAAGAAUGGCGUCAUGCGAUUAAUGUUCUGAAUUCGCCUGGCCACAAGUUUCCAGGUAUGGAAGAAAGAAUUCUUCCCAUUUUGAAGUUCAGUUAUGAUAGCUUAAAGAAUGGUGAAAUCAAAUUGUGCUUCCUAUAUUGUUCUCUGUUUCCUGAAGAUUUUGAAAUAGAGAAGGAUAAGUUGAUAGAAUAUUGGAUUUGCGAAGGAUAUAUAAAUCCGAACAGAUAUGAAGAUGGAGGUACUAACCAAGGUUAUGAUAUAAUUGGCUUGUUAGUUCGUGCACAUUUGUUGAUUGAAUGUGAACUCACAGACAAAGUUAAAAUGCAUGAUGUGAUACGUGAGAUGGCUCUUUGGAUAAAUUCUGACUUCGGAAAUCAGCAAG
rnacentral:sRNA from 1 species